AGGUUACUGCUAUCGAGGUUCGACUAAGCCAUGCGAGUCGAAUGUAGCAAUACAUGGCGUACUGCUCAGUAACACGUGGACAACCUACCCUUAGGCCUGGGAUAACCCCGGGAAACUGGGAAUAAUACCGGAUAUCUCGCGAAUGCUGGAAUGCGUCGCGAUAGAAAGCUCCGGCGCCUAAGGAUGGGUCUGCGGCCUAUCAGGGUAGUAGUGGGUGUAACGUACCUACUAGCCUACGACGGGUACGGGUUGUGAGAGCAAGAGCCCGGAGAUGGAUUCUGAGACACGAAUCCAGGCCCUACGGGGUGCAGCAGGCGCGAAAACUUUACAAUGCUGGAAACAGCGAUAAGGGGACCUCGAGUGCCAGGAUACAAUCCUGGCUGUCGUAAUGCCUAAAAAGCAUUGCAUAGCAAGGGCCGGGCAAGACCGGUGCCAGCCGCCGCGGUAACACCGGCGGCUCGAGUGGUAACCGCUAUUAUUGGGUCUAAAGGGUCUGUAGCCGGCUGACUAAGUCUCUUGGGAAAUCUGACAGCUUAACUGUCAGGCUUUCAGGAGAUACUGAUCGGCUCGAGACCGGGAGAGGUGAGAGGUACCUCAGGGGUAGGGGUGAAAUCUUGUAAUCCUUGAGGGACCACCAGUGGCGAAGGCGUCUCACCAGAACGGAUCUGACGGCAAGGGACGAAAGCUAGGGGCACGAACCGGAUUAGAUACCCGGGUAGUCCUAGCCGUAAACGAUACUCGCUAGGUGUCGGCCACGGUGCGACCGUGGUCGGUGCCGUAGGGAAGCCGUGAAGCGAGCCACCUGGGAAGUACGGCCGCAAGGCUGAAACUUAA
rnacentral:rRNA from 1 species